GCAACGAAAAAUCAUUAGAUAACAACUUAAAAUAGCCAAAAUUAACUGAGGAGAAGGGAGACACAUAUUAGCUUAAUUUUAGGUUUAGUUUUCUCUAGAUUUUCUUUUAGUUUUUUGCACUUUUUCUAGGGUUUUCAUUUUCUCUUUUUCUUCCUUAGUUUAGAGUUUAUUUUUUUGUAUUUACUUCUUGUUGUUAAUGUUCUUAGUGUUAGUUAAGAUAGUUAUCACUGUAGCUUAGGUUUAUUUGCACUUUCAGUCAUU
rnacentral:lncRNA from 1 species